GUUUAGGUAGUUUAAUUAAGAAUAAUAAUUUGUGAUGUUAUAGGUAUAAUUUAUUCUAAAUC
rnacentral:tRNA from 1 species